AUGAACUUAACCCUUUGAAGGUAAAACAUCUAUGACAGUGGUUCUUAAAUGGGGGUCGUAAAGGCACUUUGGGUGGUACGUAACAUUUUAAAAUAUUUUUGAAAAGUAGCAUCCCAUCAAAAAAUCUGCAGUUAAGCAUAAGUCAAAGUUUCUCCCUAAAUGCAAAUACGCUGAAGUGAAACACCACAAUGUUCAGUGUUGAUGCUUCUUUUUAAUUAAGAAUGAAUUAAGGGAUUUCCUGAAAAAAAAUUCUUCAGUUUCAGCUUUUAUUUAAAAUUAAUGAUUUUUUUUUAGAACAGAUCUGUACUGCGCUGCAAUUUGCCCAGUGCUCACACUUCAGGGAUGGUGUUAAAAAUAGAAUGUCAAUGUUGCAUCAACACCGCUCAGUAAUGAAAUAGCCUUUGUAGUCUAGAACUGAUGUUUUAAAAAGGGGUGUUGCCUUGAUUCGACCCUGAUUGGUUUCAAUUUGAAAUUGUAACCACGUCCUGACGUAUUGCUUGAAGUUGACUGCUUGGAGUGCCUAGGCGAGCAAAUUGUCUAUCAUUUUCCUCAUCGCCUGCAAGAUGGAAUCACACUUCCCUCAGCUAAGUAAUUUUGAAGCUGGUUCAAAAACUCUGCAAGACCACCUGGCAUCGGAACAGCCAUCAGGUGAUUAAAGCGUGUCCACGAUGAAGUGUUCAGCCAGCCAGCCAAUGUCAAAGUGUUAAAAUAAAGGCACCGUUCACGCACAGACAGAUGCAACACUGUCCCGACCAGGGGUUUGCGUCUUGUCCAAUAUCUAAUGUCCACUAUUAACUGAAUGCCAGAAUGGAAUGUUUGUGUCGAUAUGGCAAAUGUUAACAUCUUCAUAAUGAUAAGGUAUUUCUUUUGACCAGAAAUGGUCUUAGUUUCUGUAUUGAUUAUCUGUAAGCAUUUAGAAUAGAGGAGGAUUUGUUCACCGUUAUUGGCAUGGGCAGUUUUUACAUAAAGGAUGAAAGGACAUACUACUUCUGUCUGAGGACCUGUCUGAAAUGUAUUUAAUAAAAGAAACGUGACUUAAAA